rnacentral:rRNA from 1 species
UACGGGGGGGGCAAGCGUUGUUCGGAAUUACUGGGCGUAAAGGGCUCGUAGGCGGCCAACUAAGUCCGACGUGAAAUCCCCAGGCUUAACCUGGGAACUGCGUCGGAUACUGGAUGGCUUGAAUUCGGGAGAGGGAUGCAGAAUUCCAGGUGUAGCGGUGAAAUGCGUAGAUAUCUGGAGGAAUACCGGUGGCGAAGGCGGCAUCCUGGACCAAUAUUGACGCUGAGGAGCGAAAGCCAGGGGAGCAAACGGG